rnacentral:rRNA from 1 species
GGGCCCGCACAAGCGGUGGAGCAUGUGGUUUAAUUCGACGCAACGCGAAGAACCUUACCUGGGCUUGAACUGCAGUGGACCGGUAUAGAGAUAUGCCUUUUCGCAAGAACUGCUGCAGAGGUGCUGCAUGGCUGUCGUCAGCUCGUGUCGUGAGAUGUUGGGUUAAGUCCCGCAACGAGCGCAACCCUUACCCGUAGUUGCCAGCGGUUCGGCCGGGAACUCUACGGGGACUGCCCGGGUUAACCGGGAGGAAGGUGGGGAUGAUGUCAAGUCCUCAUGGCCCUUAUGUCCAGGGCUACACACGUGCUACAAUGGGCGGUACAAACCGUUGCAAAGCCGCGAGGUGGAGCUAAUCGGAGAAAGCCGUCCUCAGUUCGGAUUGCAGUCUGCAACUCGACUGCAUGAAGUUGGAAUCGCUAGUAAUCGUGUAUCAGAAUGAUACGGUGAAUACGUUCCCGGGCCUU